CAGGACGAACGCUGGCGGCGUGCUUAAUACAUGCAAGUCGAACGAGAAGCAAGAGCUUGCUCUUGUGGAAAGUGGCGGACGGGUGAGUAACAUGUAGGAAAUCUGCCCUUUAGCGGGGGACAACAGUUGGAAACGACUGCUAAUACCCCAUAUGAGCUAGCCUGAAAUGGUUAUCUUGAAAACUCCGGUGCUAAAGGAUGAGCCUGCACCUGAUUAGCUAGUUGGCGGGGUAAAUGCCCACCAAGGCUAUGAUCAGUAGCUGGUUUGAGAGGAUGAUCAGCCACAAUGGGACUGAGACACGGCCCAUACUCCUACGGGAGGCAGCAGUAGGGAAUUUUGCGCAAUGGGGGAAACCCUGACGCAGCAACGCCGCGUGACCGAUGACGCCCUUCGGGGUGUAAAGGUCUGUCAGUAGGGACGAAUUUUGACGGUACCUACAGAGGAAGCACCGGCUAACUCCGUGCCAGCAGCCGCGGUAAUACGGGGGGUGCAAGCGUUGUCCGGAAUCAUUGGGCGUAAAGAGUUCGUAGGCGGCAUGUCAAGUCUGGUGUUAAAUCCUGAGGCUCAACUUCAGUUCAGCACUGGAUACUGGCAAGCUAGAAUGCGGUAGAGGUAAAGGGAAUUCCUGGUGUAGCGGUGAAAUGCGUAGAUAUCAGGAAGAACACCGGUGGCGUAAGCGCUUUACUGGGCCGUUAUUGACGCUGAGGAACGAAAGCCGGGGGAGCGAAUGGGAUUAGAUACCCCAGUAGUCCCGGCCGUAAACGAUGGAUACUAGGUGUUGUGGGUAUCGACCCCUACAGUGCCGUAGCUAACGCGAUAAGUAUCCCGCCUGGGGAGUACGCACGCAAGUGUGAAACUCAAAGGAAUUGACGGGGACCCGCACAAGCAGCGGAGCAUGUGGUUUAAUUCGAAGCAACGCGAAGAACCUUACCAGGGCUUGACAUCCCUCUGACAGGACUUUAAUCGGUUCCUUCUUCGGACAGAGGAGACAGGUGGUGCAUGGUUGUCGUCAGCUCGUGUCGUGAGAUGUUGGGUUAA
rnacentral:rRNA from 1 species